CUACGGGAGGCAGCAGUGGGGAAUCUUAGACAAUGGGCGCAAGCCUGAUCUAGCCAUGCCGCGUGAGUGAUGAAGGCCUUAGGGUCGUAAAGCUCUUUCGCCAGGGAUGAUAAUGACAGUACCUGGUAAAGAAACCCCGGCUAACUCCGUUCCACCAUACGCGGUAAUACGGAGGGGGUUAGCGUUGUUCGGAAUUACUGGGCGCAAUGCGCACGUAGGCGGAUUAGUCAGUCAGAGGUGAAAUCCCAGGGCUCAACCCUGGAACUGCCUUUGAUACUGCUAGUCUUGAGUUCGAGAGAGGUGAGUGGAAUUCCGAGUGUAGAGGUGAAAUUCGUAGAUAUUCGGAGGAACACCAGUGGCGAAGGCGGCUCACUGGCUCGAUACUGACGCUGAGGUGCGAAAGUGUGGGGAGCAAACAGGAUUAGAUACCCUGGUAGUCCACACCGUAAACGAUGAAUGCCAGUCGUCGGGUAGCAUGCUGUUCGGUGACACACCUAACGGAUUAAGCAUUCCGCCUGGGGAGUAC
rnacentral:rRNA from 1 species